rfam:Aspergillus kawachii IFO 4308 DNA, contig: scaffold00004.
GACCAAUUGGCCUAGUGGUUAUGGCAUCUGUCUUACAUAAGCAACAUAAUUGUUACAUAAAUGUGAACACAGAAGGUCGCAGGUUCGAUCCCUGCAUUGGUCA